UACGAAGGGGGCUAGCGUUGUUCGGAUUUACUGGGCGUAAAGCGCACGUAGGCGGAUCGAUCAGUCAGGGGGUGAAAUCCCAGAGCUCAACUCUGGAACUGCCUUCGAUACUGUCGAUCUGGAGUAUGGAAGAGGUGAGUGGAAUUCCGAGUGUAGAGGUGAAAUUCGUAGAUAUUCGGAGGAACACCAGUGGCGAAGGCGGCUCACUGGUCCAUUACUGACGCUGAGGUGCGAAAGCGUGGGGAGCAAACAGG
rnacentral:rRNA from 1 species